rnacentral:tRNA from 1 species
GCCUUUAUGGUGUAACGGCAACGCACUCGGCGUGUAUUCGAGAGGUCCAGGUUCGAAUCCUGGCCAGGGGA